ACAGGCUUAACACAUGCAAGUCGAGGGGCAGCAUGGUCUUAGCUUGCUAAGGCCGAUGGCGACCGGCGCACGGGUGAGUAACACGUAUCCAACCUGCCGUCUACUCUUGGACAGCCUUCUGAAAGGAAGAUUAAUACAAGAUGGCAUCAUGAGUCCGCAUGUUCACAUGAUUAAAGGUAUUCCGGUAGACGAUGGGGAUGCGUUCCAUUAGAUAGUAGGCGGGGUAACGGCCCACCUAGUCUUCGAUGGAUAGGGGUUCUGAGAGGAAGGUCCCCCACAUUGGAACUGAGACACGGUCCAAACUCCUACGGGAGGCAGCAGUGAGGAAUAUUGGUCAAUGGGCGAGAGCCUGAACCAGCCAAGUAGCGUGAAGGAUGACUGCCCUAUGGGUUGUAAACUUCUUUUAUAAAGGAAUAAAGUCGGGUAUGUAUACCCGUUUGCAUGUACUUUAUGAAUAAGGAUCGGCUAACUCCGUGCCAGCAGCCGCGGUAAUACGGAGGAUCCGAGCGUUAUCCGGAUUUAUUGGGUUUAAAGGGAGCGUAGAUGGAUGUUUAAGUCAGUUGUGAAAGUUUGCGGCUCAACCGUAAAAUUGCAGUUGAUACUGGAUAUCUUGAGUGCAGUUGAGGCAGGCGGAAUUCGUGGUGUAGCGGUGAAAUGCUUAGAUAUCACGAAGAACUCCGAUUGCGAAGGCAGCCUGCUAAGCUGCAAUUGACAUUGAGGCUCGAAAGUGUGGGUAUCAAACAGG
rnacentral:rRNA from 1 species